GAUGAAGAACGUAGCGAAAUGCGAUAAGUAAUGUGAAUUGCAGAAUUCAGUGAAUCAUCGAAUCUUUGAACGCACAUUGCGCCCGCCAGUAUUCUGGCGGGCAUACCUGUUCGAGCGUCAUUUCAACCCUCAAGCCCAGCUUGGUGUUGGGGAUCGGCACAGGCGCCCUCGGGCGCCCGCCGUCCCCUAAAUCUAGUGGCGGUCCCGCUGCAGCCUCCUCUGCGUAGUAGUUUUCUCCUCGCAAGGGCAGCUCGGUGGCGACCUCGCCGUAAAACCCCCAACUUCUGAAAGGUUGACCUCGAAUCAGGUAGGAAUACCCGCUGAACUUAAGCAUAUCAAUAAGCGGAGGA
rnacentral:misc_RNA from 1 species